rnacentral:rRNA from 1 species
UACGGAGGGUGCAAGCGUUAAUCGGAAUUACUGGGCGUAAAGCGUGCGCAGGCGGUUUGUUAAGUCCGCUGUGAAAUCCCCGAGCUCAACUUGGGAAUUGCAGUGGAUACUGGCAAGCUGGAGUAUGGUAGAGGAAGGUGGAAUUCCCGGUGUAGCAGUGAAAUGCGUAGAGAUCGGGAGGAACACCAGUGGCGAAGGCGGCCUUCUGGACCAAUACUGACGCUCAUGCACGGAAGCGUGGGGAGCAAACAGG